CUACUACUCCCUCCGUCCGGAAAUACUUGUCAUCAAAAUAGAUAAAAACGGAUGUAUCUAGAACUAAUAUACAUCUAGAUACAUCCCCUUUUAUUCAUUUUGAUGACAAGUAUUUCCGGACGGAGGGAGUAUAUC
rnacentral:pre_miRNA from 1 species